rnacentral:rRNA from 1 species
AUUGAACGCUGGCGGCAGGCCUAACACAUGCAAGUCGAGCGGUAGAGAGGUGCUUGCAUCUCUUGAGAGCGGCGGACGGGUGAGUAAUGCCUAGGAAUCUGCCUAGUGGUGGGGGAUAACGUUCGGAAACGGACGCUAAUACCGCAUACGUCCUACGGGAGAAAGCAGGGGACCUUCGGGCCUUGCGCUAUCAGAUGAGCCUAGGUCGGAUUAGCUAGUAGGUGAGGUAAUGGCUCACCUAGGCGACGAUCCGUAACUGGUCUGAGAGGAUGAUCAGUCACACUGGAACUGAGACACGGUCCAGACUCCUACGGGAGGCAGCAGUGGGGAAUAUUGGACAAUGGGCGAAGCCUGAUCCAGCAAUGCCGCGUGAGUGAUGAAGGGCCUUCGGG